UGGAUCAGUAUGACAUGGUGCAUGUUCAUGGCACUUCGAGAGACAUAUUCUCAAGUGAAAAUUAACAGAACGAUUUCAGCAGACAUAAAACCUUCUCCUGAAUUUGCCCAAGGCCCGCAGAUGCUGCUGCUGAACGGAGGUGAUUUCCCUGCUUCAGAGACCAGAAGAUCCUUAUGUAGCAUCUGCUGAAAUAAAGUCCAGGAGGAAAGACGCUACCAAAGGAGGCAGAAACAAAGAUGAAGACAGAAAGAGCCAGUGUCUUUUUCCAUUUAACUAUAGGCACCUUCUACCACCGCAUCUGCUCCAUGGCUCCAACAUUUGAUGAGCUAAAUUGAUGAAUCUGUACUGUUAGGCUUAUUUAAAUAUUUUGAGGGUACACGUCUAAGGUGUGCUGCUGGAUUCAUCCUAUACCUGGAGCAUCAGAGGCAAUUCAGGAAAUCUUGCCAAGGAAACGGACCUCCAAGUCACCAUCCCAAAAGGAACCAGGUGGAGAAAAUAUUUCUGCCUUUUGCCUAGCAAGAAAGAUUUGAAGACAGGUUAGAAAAGCAUCUUUAAAUCACAUUGCAAAGGUGUUUUUUACCAAUGAAGAUGACGGUGAGUGCUCAGUGAGAUUAUCAGAUGCGAACAGGUAAUACAUUUCCAUCAGGAUCAAUAGGAGCUGGCAAGGCAACACUUUCAAGGAGUCUGCUAAGUAGAAGCGCCUUUUUCCAAGCUAGCCAUUAAAUGCUCAAGAAUCUAAAUCUCCCCGAAAAUCCCAUUCCUUAGGAGUUAAGUUGCUUUUCAAAAUGGCAUUUGGGACCCUAAAUCAUUUUUCAGAAUGCCUGUUUGGAAAAUGUUAUUGUAGAUCCUCGUAGAGGCUGCUUGUGACCACAAUACAUUGGGGAGGGGUUGUGAUAGCCAAGAGAAUUUGAUUAUCAAUUUGUUGAACAUGUUCUUAGGCAGAUCAAGCGCAAAGAGUAAUUUUAUUUAGCUUGAAGUAUCUGGUAAACAUAAAGAGAAAAAGGGCUCUGUAGUUGGACAGGUCUUAUCUCGGUAUCUUUAUUUACAUUUUCAAAGAACACUGACGCAAUCGAGCUACCAAAAGAACUGCUUUCCAUCAGCCUGGGAACAGAAACAAAUUAGACUUUAAUAGCGUUGUGUGAAAACUAUGGCAAAUGUUAUGUAAAACUGUGCAAACAGAAUGUUUGUGUUCUAGUUCCAGGUCAUUUAGUGGGCAAAAAGAGAGACAUUUUGUGUGAAAUAGCCAUGAAACGGUUUGCUAUUAUAUAAGGAUAGGAACUGCUAGAUCAAACUAAUGGUGACAUGCCAAGAAUCAGAUGCUUCAAAGCAAAAUGCAAGACAUCCCAGUGUGGAUAAUUAUGAAAUAGUCUGACCAUAGGGGAAAUUUCUGCAUAAAUGACUUUAGUCCUAAAAGGCUACAUGUUUAUAUUGCUUCUGAAAAGGUUUUAGUCUGAUUUCCCACAGACACAAGGCUUAUGCAACCAGUGUGCUGCCUGGCUGUGCAAAUCUCUGACUCCCUCCCUCCCUGUCUGCUUUCCUGCCUCCAGCAACCUCUGAACACGUCCAAUCCCUGCUACGUGGAGCAGAGGAGAGGAGGUCUCACAAAUAGUUAAGUUCCUACAGGUUUCAUGAAUAUAAGCUGCUCCCCA